UCGUCGCCAGCCGUGGCCGCUGCCACACUGGCGAUGAUGGCCGGUCCCGGUGAAGAGACCAAAAGAAAGGGAUGAUCCCUCUCUCUUCAUGGUUGGGAAUACAUCUCCCUCCCUCAAAUCCUUUUUGAUCCAAGGGCAACAACCAUGGUGGCUGUGCCCUCUCCUUCUCCAACCCAACAACACCACUGGCCGAACCAUCGCCGGCCGCCACUGUUGCAGUCGCCGGCGAUGGUGGCCGGACAAGGGGAAGAGAGAAGACUCCUCUUCUAUCUCUUCGAGUGGUAUCAGAGCUUAAGGUUGAGGUAUCCUAGGAUUUAAGUUCAGGUGAGUAUCAGUGGAGAAUUAUGAUAGAAAAACUAUCAGAGUCUUGGUUUAUAAUCAUAUGAGAUUGUAACAGAAAUGAUAUUGUAAUCUAAGAUUUAAGACCACUAGGGACUGUGGCCUUAAUGGCAUUAGAGUUUGACGUUUAAGACCAUUGGGGAUAGUGACAAAAUUGGAAUUUGAGCAUAUGUUUAAGAUCACUAGGGAUCGUGACAGAAAUAUAUCAUAGCUUAAUGUUAUGAUCACUUUGGACAUGACAAUUAAAUUCAGUGCUUAAGCUGUAAGAUCACUUGGCAUUGUGAUAAAAUGUAUGCAUCGGUUUGGUUUUCGAUGCAUACGGAAGGAAGUAUAAAUUGUCUUUGAUUAUGAUAAGAGAGGUUUGACCUAAGAUAAGUGUAGAUCAACAAUGGCAUAUCAAGUAUACCAUGUUCAGAUAUUAUUUAAAUGAUUUGAAAGUUCAAAUUUGAUGUGGGUUUUGAUGUGAUCAUACAUUUGG
rnacentral:lncRNA from 1 species